UUGACUGGCUUUUCUGAGCAGAUGUUCCUUGCAUGUGAUUGCAAGAGGUUCUACAAUUCUCAGUCAAGGAAACAGCUUCAGACAAGCUUAUGGAAUCCAGACGGUCUAGGCUUUGGCAGAGACGAGGCAGGACGCCCAGAUAUUUUGGCAUGAACUACACAUCUCUUAACAUCUGCUACCCACUGCCUUUGUGAAAAAAAGAGGAAAAUGAAGCAAUGCCACUGCCAUCACUGGAGAGCCAGCAGACAUUCAGUUGAAAAAAGUAAGUGUAUUCUUUCCUUUCCACAAAGACUGCCCGUUGCAACACCACCCCCAAAUGCAUGGGGUCCCAGCUUGAAGAA